GGGCGUAUGGUCUAGCGGUAUGACAUCUUCUUAGCAUCGGCUCUGGCCGUGAUCUGAGUGGAGAAGGUUCCCGGUUCGACUCCGGGUUCGUCCA